rnacentral:rRNA from 1 species
UGGGGAAUAUUGCACAAUGGGCGAAAGCCUGAUGCAGCGACGCCGCGUGGGGGAUGAAGGCCUUCGGGUUGUAAACUCCUUUUAGUAGGGAAGAAGCGUAAGUGACGGUACCUGCAGAAAAAGCGCCGGCUAACUACGUGCCAGCAGCCGCGGUAAUACGUAGGGCGCAAGCGUUGUCCGGAAUUAUUGGGCGUAAAGAGCUCGUAGGCGGCUUGUCACGUCUGCUGUGAAAUCCCAACGCUUAACGUUGGGCGUGCAGUGGGUACGGGCAGGCUAGAGUGCGGUAGGGGUGACUGGAAUUCCUGGUGUAGCGGUGGAAUGCGCAGAUAUCAGGAGGAACACCGAUGGCGAAGGCAGGUCACUGGGCCGCAACUGACGCUGAGGAGCGAAAGCAUGGGGAGCGAACAGG